rnacentral:rRNA from 1 species
AGCAGCCGCGGUAAUUCCAGCUCCAAUAGCGUAUAUUAAAGUUGUUGCAGUUAAAAAGCUCGUAGUUGAAUUUCGGGAUCAAUUUAUUGGUCGUGCCAACGGUACGCACUGGUACAAUUGGUUUCUCCCUUCUGACGAAGCAUGAUGUCAUUAACUUGAUGUCGUGGGGAAUCAGGACUGUUACUUUGAAAAAAUUAGAGUGUUUAAAGCAGGCUUUGGCUUGAAUACAUUAGCAUGGAAUAAUGAAAUAGGACGUUUGAUCUUAUUUCGUUGGUUUCUAAGAUCGACGUAAUGAUUAAUAGGGAUAGUUGGGGGCAUUAGUAUCCAAUUGUCAGAGGUGAAAUUCUUGGAUUUAUUGAAGACUAACUACUGCGAAAGCAUUUGCCAAGGAUGUUUUCAUUAAUCAAGAACGAAAGUUAGGGGAUCGAAGACGAUCAGAUACCGUCGUAGUCUUAACCAUAAACUAUGCCGACUAGGGAUCGGAUGAUGUUAAUUUUUUAAUGACUCAUUCGGCGCCUUACG